UACAGAGAGAGAGAGAGAGAGAAAGACAGACAGACAGACGUAGCAACGACAGACGCACCAAUCUUAAAAUGUAGAGAACUAAAAACUCUGCACCAGGGCGGUGACUGCCAUAGCACUGUCCGAGAAGCGAGGGAAGCGAGCGGUGGGAUGAGCGCGACUUGGCUCACCUUCUUGGAGGCUCCACAGUCACUAACAACCUAAAAAGAUAAACGAAACAUUUAGCUCAUGUGUUAUGGGCACCCUCCUUUUCUCUGUCUCACCGCCAGAAGAUUCUAGAAACUGCUUUGCAGACUCUCCUCGGGGCCUUAGAAGGUGGCAUCUGAAACCGAUGACUAGAUGGGCCAUUCCAUAUAUGAUGCUGGGACAACUGGGUAGCCAUCCAGAAAAAAAGUCCGAUUUAUACGGGAACGCAUAUACUAGGACAAAUACGAAGUGAACUAGAGGUGGGAAUGCAAACAAGAUCAACAAGUCAAAGGACGAUGGGCAAAGACUAUGAACACUCGGUUCACAGAAAACAAUAGCGGAUCUUAACCACACGGAAAGAUGAACAACCUUGCUCGUAAAGUCACGACUGGAUAUUAUAUUACGCGAGAGUCUGAUAACAGGACGGUUGGGCAAGGCUGUGGGAAACAGGCGCCGGCCGAGAAAGCUGGCUGUGCUCUUCGAGUCUCUGUCCCCGGCUUAUCAUUCCCAACUCCCCUGAAGCGACAGUCAGGGGGUCCCUGGGGGGUUUGCAGGACAUUUGGACAAGGGCCUGACCGUCACAUCUUGGUGUGGCCCUAACUUUGCAAGCACUUUGGUCUGUGGCCAUUGAUGUGAGCUGGCUAAGGGACACCCACGUUACCCAAACUCACAAGGAGCCGGUGCAGGAACUAGGACGGGAAAUCAUUUUUAAAGAUAUUUUAUUUAUUCAUCUUUAAGUAGGCUCCACACCCAACAUGGGGCUUGAACUCAGACC